rnacentral:rRNA from 1 species
CACGUAGGCACCAAGCGUUGUUCGGAUUCACUGGGCGUAAAGGGUGCGUAGGUGGUGAGGUAAGUCGGAUGUGAAAUCUCCAGGCUCAACCUGGAGGGUCAUUCGAUACUGCCGUGACUAGAGUUCGGUAGAGGAGUGUGGAAUUCCUGGUGGAGCGGUGAAAUGCGCAGAGAUCAGGAGGAACACCCGUAGCGAAGGCGGCACUCUGGGCCGAUACUGACACUGAGGAGCGAAAGCGUGGGAGCGAACAGG